rnacentral:rRNA from 1 species
CCUACGGGUGGCAGCAGUGAGGAAUAUUGGUCAAUGGGCGCGAGCCUGAACCAGCCAAGUAGCGUGAAGGAAGAAGGCUUUCGGGUUGUAAACUUCUUUUGACAGGGAAGAGCAGAAGACGGUACCUGUCGUAUUAGCCAUGGCUAACUACGUGCCAGCAGCCGCGGUCAUACGUAGGUGGCAAGCGCUGUCCGGAUUUACUGGGUGUAAAGGGCGUGUAGCCGGGUUGACAAGUCAGAUGUGAAAUCCUGCGGCUUAACCGCAGAACUGCAGUUGAAACUGUUGAUCUGGAGUACUGGAGAGGCAGGCGGAAUUCCUGGUGUAGCGGUGAAAUGCGUAGAUAUUAGGAGGAACACCAGUGGCGAAGGCGGUCUGCUGGACAGCAACUGACGGUGAGGCGCGAAAGCGUGGGGAGCAAACAGGAUUAGAUACCCCUGUAGUC